UUUAUUUCAAACAUAACAAUUUAAUAACUCAAAAUAAAUGCAUAAUAAUAUCAAGAAAAUGAACAUCAAGAAACAGAAACUGCAAUAUUCAGAAAAUUCAAUUAGAGUACAAAAUAGAAGAAUCAAAGUAAACAUUUUGCAAUUUCAAACUUUCUAAAGUAAAAAUGUAUUUUGCACUGAGGAUGUUUUAGAGUCUCACCAUGUCAUUUCUGUCUGUUUUUCUGCAUUAUGGCUGAUUCAUUGAUUAUAGUUGACAGAUAAAAAAAAAAAUGCAGUAUUUUGGUCUUUCCCAUUCAUUUUUAAUGGUCGGUCAAUUUUGACCGCGAAUACCAAAGGUGUUGCUUUUUUUAAGACUUAUCGUAAAAAAUAAAAAAUAAUAUUAUGUUCAGAUGGCAAAUAGAGGAUAAGUCUUGUAUUGCUCAGAUAAAGGAAACCAUUUUUAUUAAAUGAGGAAAAUUAUUAUUUCGGUAAAAAAUUACAGAAUACCAUAGGAGGGUUAAUUAAAAGGUCUGUGCAAACAAAUGUGCAAGGAUCUGUUCUAUUAAAACAUGAAUUGAUCUCAUAAUUUGGUAACAUGUCAGUCAGAUUUUAGAAACAGAAAUAUCUGUAAAACACAUGUUUUGAAAUGUCUUAAAUUAUUUAGUAUUAUUUCAGACAUUAAUCAUGUAAGAAUUAAGACAUAAUUUUGUAUAAAUUCCUUUAUCAAUCUUUUCUCUUUUCACACACACACACACACACACACACACACACACACACACACACACACACACACACACACACAUGUUGUGUUUCCAUGUUUUAUGGGGACUUUCCAUAGACAUAAUGGUUUUUAUACUGUACAAACUUUAUAUUCUAUCCUCUAAACCUAACCCUACCCCUAAACCUAACCCUCACAGAAAACUUUCUGCAUUUUUACAUUUUCAAAAAACAUAAUUUAGUAUGAUUUAUAAGCUGUUUUCCUCAUGGGGACCGACAAAAUGUCCCCACAAGGUCAAAAAUUUCGGGUUUUACUAUCCUUAUGGAGACAUUUGGUCCCCACAAAGUGAUAAAUACACGCUCUCACACACACACACACACACACACACACACACACAUUGUUGAACUAAAUAAACCAGUAGUUCCUCCACUGGUCUCUUCAGACCCAGAUGUUCAGAUUUAUGGCCCUUGUCAAGUCUUGGCCUAAAAUGGCCAGUCUAUUCAAUUUCACUGGGCCAAAGAGUUUUAUUUCAUCUCCGCAAAACAACACAUCAGUCAUGACCAUAAGCCUGGUUCAUAAGCUGACACAAACCCACACACAUAACAAGCUCACUACAUCGCAUUUGUGGUAUAUAACACACUAGUAAAUGAAGACGGAGAACUCGUCAAACCUGGAAAUGUAACAAGAAAUCAAGCAGAGCGAUGUUAAAGCCAACAGAACGAGAAAUGGCAUUUAGGUGCAUGUUCAGUAAAGUCAUCUUUAUUUUCAAAGCUCGAAUGGUCAUUCCUAGCCAUUCAAAGACAAGAUAACAGAAAAAGAUAGAAAGGUCUAUUUUCAAGAGAGCAAAAUCGACUCGUUUCCACGCUUCAUAGGUAGAAUGAAUUUCACUGUGAUAAAGGUACGUUUCUAGUUUGAACAUUAUUUGCACGUCAGACCUUUGUUUUGGUGGACAAGAAAAACUAGCUUCAUACAAAAUGGCUCUCAUUUGGUUUUCGACCAUUACAAAAUGAAUAAAAUGUUAAAAUAUUUGGAUGAAGCCGCAUUGAGAGCCUCAUAUCUCUGGGAUUGUACCAUAUAGGGCUUUUAAAAUUAAGAUACAAAAAGGAAAGUUGGCUCUAAACCAGAAUAUAAAAUGACAUUAAGAAAUCUUGAAUACUUUGGGACUUAUAGGCACUUCAACUUUGGAAAAAAAAGGUGGACAGGUAGACAAGUAUCUAUAUCCACAGUAAAACGAAUCCUAUAUCGACUGCUCAGCAAGGAAGAAUCCACUGCUCCAAAACUGCCAUAAAAAAGCCAGACUACAGUUUGCAAUUGCACAUGGGGACAAAGAUCUUACUUUUUGAAGAAAUGCCCUUCAAAGAUGUCUUUCAUCAUCAUUUAAGUAAAUUUUUCAAAGAAAAGGGGGGCCUUUGGUUUAGUUGACAUAGAAUGACCCUUAAAUAAAAUGAUUACAAAAUAACACUUUCCGAAGUCUCCCAAGAACGCCUCAUACCAUUAGUUACAAGUAAGAUGUCGCGCAGAGUAAAUGGUCUGCACUUAUAUAGCGCCUUUUUAACCUAAGCAGUAUUCAAAGCGCUUUACGUUGUGACCAUUCAGACAUCAAUAAUGGCAGAGCUGCCAUGCAAGGAGCUAGCCUGCCAUUGGGAGCAACUUGGGGUUCAGUGUCUUGCCCAAGGAGACUUCAGCAUAUGGAGUCAUGUGGGCCGCAAUUCGAACCACCAGCCCUGCGAAUAGUGACCGACCCGCUGUACCACCUGAGCAACAGCCGCCCCUAAAGUGUGAAUACAUCAAACCCUUACAAUCUAAACGAAACAGAUCCAUUGUGACGCCUCAUGGUUAUACAGUCACACACUUUGUAUAAGACGACACCAUUAAAAAUGUUAGACAUUAAGUGCAAAAUUUGUCACUUUUGAAGCCCAUCUUUGAAGACUUCGAUUCAAAUGUUGUAAAGGUCCACGUUUGAUCAACGGUACAAUCCAAACAGCUUUCGCUGAAGACAACUUGACUCCGUUAUUUCUUUGAAAACCUUGUUCAUAGCCAUUGCUCUAAUCUUAUACAGUAUCUUGAGUGAUAUUUCCCCAGGCUGACCCUGAGAAGUGUUUUAAGGGCGUGUGUCUUAUAGUGAUGCACGAAACUCUUGUGAUUUGUUAAUUCAUGUUUUCGUGAUACUCUUGACUCAUCACCAAAGAAAGGAAUUAGGAAUGCAGUGGCUUUAAUAACCACGCAAAAUACGGCAAAGACACGAAGAGCAUACGAAGGACACGUGAACACACAUUCAGGGCCUCAUUUCUAGAUGUUUUUUGAUCUUUUAUAAAUGAAGGUCUUAAGUAUGACGUCAUCUGUUACUCAAAACACAUGUUUGUUUACAGCAAAUCCUUCAUUUUGAGUUGGGAACGUGCACAUUCUCCAGAGUUUCACUUUUUGUGUUCCAGACAAAAAUAACAGCAUACUGGUUUGGAACGACAUGAGGAUGAGUAAAUAAUGACAUCAUUGUAUUUUUUGCGGUGAGCUAUUGCUUUAAUAAGUGAGACACUAAGUAAUCUUUUCAGCCAUUCUCAGAAAAAAAGGAUAAACAUCUCACAAUCCUGCAUCUUAUUUGAGAAAUAAACAACAUCACCCCACGGAGCGACUAUGAGAGCUACAGCCCUCGAGGGCUGAAGAUAUCCAUGUUUCAUUUCCACAGACGGCGACAGAUAUUAAAGAUAUUAUCGAGAGGUCUUAAACUACUCAAGACAAAUGUUAACAUUACUUUAGUGGAAAACAAAUACACUUUAUGGAUCAGGCGAUGGUGGCAACAGAUACAAACAUUUUAUUCUGUCGUAAAAAUGACCUUGUAUUUUCUCCUCCGGUCGUUUCCACAUAGAAUUAACUCUAAUCCGACAUCAUGGAUUGAAACAGCAGCUGGGCUAAAACCAACCCAGUUUGGGUUAUUUUAACACCACAUUUUUUUGAAUGUACAUUAGGAGACAGGUACAAAUUAGGUAGAAAUCAGGUACAAAUCAGAUACAAAUCAGGUACAAAUCAGAUACAAAUCAGGUUGAAAUCAGGGAGAGAUCAGGUACAAAUCAGGUACAAAUCAGGUAGAGAUCAGGUACAAAUCAGAUAGAGAUCAGGUAGAGAUCAGGUACAAAUAAGGUACAAAUCAGGUAGAGAUCAGGUACAAAUCAGGUAGAGAUCAGGUACAAAUCAGGUAGAAAUCAGAUACAAAUCAGGUUGAAAUAAGGUAGAGAUCAGGUACAAAUCAGAUACAAAUCAGGUAGAGAUCAGGUACAAAUCAGGUAGAGAUCAGGUACAAAUCAGGUAGAGAUCAGGUACAAAUCAGGUACAAAUCAGAUACAAAUCAGGUAGAAAUCAGGUACAAAUCAGGUAGAGAUCAGGUACAAACCAGGUAGAUAUCAGGUACAAAUCAGGUAGAGAUCAGGUACAAACCAGGUAGAUAUCAGGUACAAAUCAGGUAGAGAUCAGGUACAAAUCAGGUAGAGAUCAGGUACAAAUCAGAUACAAAUCAGGUUGAAAUCAGGUAGAGAUCAGGUACAAAUCAGGUUGAAAUCAGGGAGAGAUCAGGUACAAAUCACGUAGAGAUCAGGUACAAAUCAGAUAGAGAUCAGGUACAAAUCAGGUUGAAAUCAGGUACAAAUCAGGUAGAGAUCAGGUACAAAUCAGACACAAAUCAAGUUGAAAUCAGGUAGAGAUCAGGUACAAAUCAGGUAGAGAUCAGGUAGAAAUCAGGUAGAAAUCAGGCACAAAUCAGAUACAAAUCAGGUUGAAAUAAGGUAGAGAUCAGGUACAAAUAAGAUACAAAUCAGGUUGAAAUCAGGUUGAAAUCAGGUAGAGAUCAGGUACAAAUCAGGUACAAAUCAGGUAGAGAUCAGGUACAAAUCAUGUACAAAUCCGGUAGAGAUCAGGUACAAAUCAGGUACAAAUCAGGUAGAUAUCAGGUACAAAUCAGGUACAAAUCCGGAAGAGAUCAGUUAAAAAUCAGGUACAAAUCAGGUAGAGAUCAGGUACAAAUCAGAUACAAAUCAGGUAGAGAUCAGGUACAAAUCAGGUAGAGAUCAAAUAGAGAUCUGGUAGAAAUCAGGUAGAGAUCAGAUACAAAUCAGGUAGAGAUCAGGUAGAAAUCAGGUACAAAUCACGUACAAAUCCGGUAGAGAUCAGGUAAAAAUCAGAUACAAAUCAGGUACAAAUCCGGUAGAGAUCAGGUACAAAUCAGGUAGAUAUCAGGUACAAAUCCAGUAGAGAUCAGGUACAAAUCAGAUACAAAUCAGGUAGAGAUCAGGUACAAAUUUGGUAGAAAUCAGGUUGAAAUCAGACACAAAUCAGAUACAAAUCAGGUAGAGAUCAGAUACAAAUUAGGUUGAAAUCAGGUACAAAUCAGGUAGAGAUCAGGUAGAUAUCAGGAACAAAUCAGGUAGAGAUCAGGUACAAAUAAGGUACAAAUCAGUUAGAGAUCAGGUACAAAUCACGUACAAAUCCGGUAGAGAUCAGGUACAAAUCAGAUACAGAUCAGGUAGAUAUCAGGUACAAAUCAGGUACAAAUCCGGUAGAGAUCAGUUAAAAAUCAGGUACAAAUCAGGUAGAGAUCAGGUACAAAUCAGAUACAAAUCAGGUAGAAAUCAAGUAGAUAUCAGGUACAAAUCCGGUAGAGAUCAGUUAAAAAUCAGGUAGAGAUCAGGUAUAAAUCGGACACAAAUCAGACACAAAUCAGGUACAAAUAAUUUACAUUUAUGCAUUUGGCAGACGCUUUUAUCCAAAGUGACUUACAGUGCACUUAUUACAGGCACAAUCCCCCCUGUAAGUUAAGUGCCUUGCUCAAGGGCCCAACAGUGGCAUCUUAGUGGUGCUGGGGCUUGAACCCCCGACCUUCUGGUCAGUAACCCUGAGCCUCAACCACUGAGCCACCACUGCACAAAUCAGGUAGAGAUCAGGUAAAAAUCAGGUAGAGAUCAGGUACAAAUCAGGUAGAGAUCAGGUACAAACCAGGUAGAGAUCAGGUACAAAUCAGGUUGAAAUCAGAUAGAGAUCAGGUACAAAUCAGGUAGAGAUCAGGUACAAAUCAGACACAAAUAAUUUACAUUUAUGCAUUUGGCAGACGCUUUUAUCCAAAGCGACUUACAGUGCACUUAUUACAGGCACAAUCCCCCCUGUAAGUUAAGUGCCUUGCUCAAGGGCCCAACAGUGGCAUCUUAGUGGUGCUGGGGCUUGAACCCCCGACCUUCUGGUCAGUAACCCUGAGCCUCAACCACUGAGCCACCACUGCACAAAUCAGGUAGAGAUCAGGUAAAAAUCAGGUAGAGAUCAGGUACAAAUCAGGUAGAGAUCAGGUACAAACCAGGUAGAGAUCAGGUACAAAUCAGAUACAAAUCAGGUAGAAAUCAGGUAGAGAUCAGGUACAAAUCAGGUAGAGAUCAGGUAAAAAUCAGGUAGAGAUCAGGUACAAACCAGGUAGAGAUCAGAUACAAAUCAGGUACAAAUCAGGUAGAGAUCAGGUACAAAUCAGGUAGAGAUCAGGUACAAAUCAGGUAGAGAUCAGGUACAAAUCAGAUACAAAUCAGGUAGAAAUCAGGUAGAGAUCAGGUACAAAUCAGGUAGAGAUCAGGUACAAAUCAGGUAGAGAUCAGGUACAAAUCAGAUAGAGAUCAGGUACAAAUCAGGUAGAAAUCAGGUAGAGAUCAGGUACAAAUCAGGUAGAGAUCAGGUACAAAUCAGGUAGAGAUCAGAUACAAAUCAGGUAGAAAUCAGGUACAAAUCAGACACAAAUCAGGUAGAAAUCAGGUAGAGAUCAGGUACAAAUCAGGUAGAGAUCAUGUACAAACCAGGUAGAUAUCAGGUACAAAUCAAGUAGAGAUCAGGUACAAAUCAGGUUGAAAUCAGGUAGAGAUCAGGUACAAAUCAGGUAGAGAUCAGGUACAAAUCAGGUACAAAUUAGAUACAAAUCAGGUACAAAUCAGAUACAAAUCAGGUUGAAAUCAGGGAGAGAUCAGGUACAAAUCAGGUAGAGAUCAGGUACAAAUCAGAUAGAGAUCAGGUACAAAUCAGGUACAAAUUAGGUAGAGAUCAGGUACAAAUCAGGUAGAAAUCAGGUAGAAAUCAGGUACAAAUCAGAUACA